rnacentral:rRNA from 1 species
GACGUAGGGUGCAAGCGUUGUCCGGAUUUAUUGGGCGUAAAGAGCUCGUAGGCGGCUUGUUGCGUCGACUGUGAAAACCCGCGGCUUAACCGCGGGCUUGCAGUUGAUACGGGCAGGCUAGAGUUCGGUAGGGGAGACUGGAAUUCCUGGUGUAGCGGUGAAAUGCGCAGAUAUCAGGAGGAACACCGGUGGCGAAGGCGGUUCUCUGGGCAUUACCUGACGCUGAGGAGCGAAAGUGUGGGGAGCGAACAGG